AGCUCCGUAGUCUAGCGGUCAAGGAUACGGGACUCUGAAUCCUGAGACGGGUGUUCAAAUCACCCCGGGGCUACCA
rnacentral:tRNA from 1 species